GGUGGGGUUGGUACAUUGGCAAGUCCAGCUGCCUGCGAAGCAGCCAAACCUCUUAACGGGGUUUUGCGGGUCCAAAUCCCGCUCCCACCGCCA
rnacentral:tRNA from 1 species